rnacentral:rRNA from 1 species
AUUGAACGCUGGCGGAAUGCUUUACACAUGCAAGUCGAGCGGCAGCGCGGGGCAACCUGGCGGCGAGCGGCGAACGGGUGAGUAACACAUCGGAACGUAUCCAAUCGUGGGGGAUAGCCCGGCGAAAGCCGGAUUAAUACCGCAUACGACCUGAGGGUGAAAGUGGGGGCUCGCAAGACCUCACGCGACUGGAGCGGCCGAUGUCCGAUUAGCUAGUUGGUAGGGUAAAGGCCUACCAAGGCGACGAUCGGUAGCUGGUCUGA